GAUGAACGCUGGCGGCGUGCCUAAUACAUGCAAGUCGAGCGAACAGAUAAGGAGCUUGCUCCUUUGACGUUAGCGGCGGACGGGUGAGUAACACGUGGGUAACCUACCUAUAAGACUGGAAUAACUCCGGGAAACCGGGGCUAAUGCCGGAUAACAUUUAGAACCGCAUGGUUCUAAAGUGAAAGAUGGUUUUGCUAUCACUUAUAGAUGGACCCGCGCCGUAUUAGCUAGUUGGUAAGGUAACGGCUUACCAAGGCAACGACACGUAGCCGACCUGAGAGGGUGAUCGGCCACACUGGAACUGAGACACGGUCCAGACUCCUACGGGAGGCAGCAGUAGGGAAUCUUCCGCAAAGGGCGAAAGCCUGACGGAGCAACGCCGCGUGAGUGAUGAAGGUCUUCGGAUCGUAAAACUCUGUUAUUAGGGAAGAACAAAUGUGUAAGUAACUGUGCACGUCUUGACGGUACCUAAUCAGAAAGCCACGGCUAACUACGUG
rnacentral:rRNA from 1 species